rnacentral:ncRNA from 1 species
GUUUUUGCUUUGAAGGAGAACAGUAAUUUAUACCUGAUCUACAGAGAGAAAGUACAAAGGGUUUAUUUUAUUUACCCUGGGCUGAAAGACUUUUGUUUAAGGAUAUAUGAAGCAGCUCCGGAGCUUUAACUUUGAAAAAUAUACUUUUAAGUAUAAUUAGAGGUUAACGGUUUGCAUACGUUAAAAUGCAUUUUAUUAAGAGAUUACUUUUAUAGAUAGUUUUAAGCGUAUCUAUUAAGUAAUAACUAGGGUGGUACCGCGGGCAAACUCUCGUCCCUAUA